UGGGGAAUUUUGCACAAUGGGGGAAACCCUGAUGCAGCGACGCCGCGUGAUUUAGAAGGCCUUCGGGUUGUAAAAAUCUUUUUUACGGGAUGAAAAUGACAGUACCGUAAGAAUAAGGUCCGGCUAAAUACGUGCCAGCAGCCGCGGUAAUACGUAUGGACCGAGCGUUGUCCGGAAUCAUUGGGCGUAAAGGGUACGUAGGCGGCCUAAUAAGUUAGAAGUGAAAGAAUAUAGCUCAACUAUAUAAAGCUUUUAAAAAUGUUAGGCUUGAGAGAUGAAAGGGAAAGUGGAAUUACUAGUGUAGCGGUGAAAUGCGCAGAUAUUAGGAAGAAUACCGGUGGCGAAGGCGACUUUCUGGUCAUCAUCUGACGCUGAGGUACGAAAGCGUGGGUAGCAAACAGG
rnacentral:rRNA from 1 species